AGUCGAGGGGUAUAGGCUUUCGGGCCUAGAGACCGGCGCACGGGUGCGUAACGCGUAUGCAAUCUACCUUUCACAGAGGGAUAGCCCAGAGAAAUUUGGAUUAAUACCUCAUGGUAUAUAGGAGUGGCAUCACUUUUAUAUUAAAGUCACAACGGUGAAAGAUGAGCAUGCGUCCCAUUAGCUAGUUGGUAAGGUAACGGCUUACCAAGGCGACGAUGGGUAGGGGUCCUGAGAGGGAGAUCCCCCACACUGGUACUGAGACACGGACCAGACUCCUACGGGAGGCAGCAGUGAGGAAUAUUGGUCAAUGGGCGCAAGCCUGAACCAGCCAUGCCGCGUGCAGGAUGAAGCAUCUAUGGUGUGUAAACUGCUUUUGUACGGGAAGAAACAGAGGUUCGUGAACCUCCUUGACGGUACCGUAAGAAUAAGGAUCGGCUAACUCCGUGCCAGCAGCCGCGGUAAUACGGAGGAUCCAAGCGUUAUCCGGAAUCAUUGGGUUUAAAGGGUCCGUAGGCGGUUUAGUAAGUCAGUGGUGAAAGCCCAUCGCUCAACGGUGGAACGGCCAUUGAUACUGCUAGACUUGAAUUAUUAGGAAGUAACUAGAAUAUGUAGUGUAGCGGUGAAAUGCUUAGAUAUUACAUGGAAUACCAAUUGCGAAGGCAGGUUACUACUAAUGGAUUGACGCUGAUGGACGAAAGCGUGGGUAGCGAACAGGAUUAGAUACCCUGGUAGUCCACGCCGUAAACGAUGGAUACUAGCUGUUCGGAGCAAUCUGAGUGGCUAAGCGAAAGUGAUAAGUAUCCCACCUGGGGAGUACGGGCGCAAGCCUGAAACUCAAAGGAUUGACGGGGG
rnacentral:rRNA from 1 species